rnacentral:lncRNA from 1 species
AUGUGAGGAGCACCUCUGCCCGGCCGCAACCCCGUCUGGGAGACCCUGCAUUCUGAUGGACCAGCUGGUGCAACCCAGACUGGGAAUCCAUACAACGAAACUGGCUUACCUGGUCUUGUGAUCCUCACCCAGGAACUGACUCAACAUGAGAAGACAGCUUUGACCCCCUAUGAUUUCACUCUCAACCCACCAAUCAGCAUUCCCCAUUCCCUAGCCCCCACUUACCACUAAACUGUCCUUGAAAAACCCUAGUCUUUGAAUUUUGGAGGAGGCUGAUUUGAGUAAUAAACUCCCAUCCUUCAGCUUG